GACGAACGCUGGCGGCGUGCUUAACACAUGCAAGUCGAACGAUGAAGCUAGAGCUUGCUCUGGUGAAUUAGUGGCGAACGGGUGAGUAACACGUGAGUAACCUGCCCCGAACUCUGGGAUAACUGCUGGAAACGGUAGCUAAUACUGGAUACGACCAACGAAGGCAUCUUCUGUUGGUGGAAAGAAUUUCGGUUCGGGAUGGACUCGCGGCCUAUCAGCUUGUUGGUGAGGUAACGGCUCACCAAGGCGACGACGGGUAGCCGGCCUGAGAGGGGGGUCGGCCACACUGGGACUGAGACUCGGCCCAGACUCCUACGGGAGGCAGCAGUGGGGAAUAUUGCACGAUGGGCGCAAGCCUGAUGCAGCAACGCCGCGUGAGGGACGACGGCCUUCGGGUUGUAAACCUCUUUUAGUAGGGAAGAAGCGAAAGUGACGGUACCUGCAGAAAAAGCACCGGCUAACUACGUGCCAGCCGCCGCCGUAA
rnacentral:rRNA from 1 species